AAAUACUAAAUAAUCUAUUUACCAUAUAUCAUAGAGUAAGCAGUCAGCGCAGGGAUUGUGUUCAGAAAAUGGUCCAGUAUUUUGUUUCUCAGAUUGCAAUCAUCAGUAUCAGAUGUAAACCAUUUUAGAUUCUCCUGAAGACCUAAUGGAGAAAAAGGAUGGAUAAAGCCGGCCCGAUUCAGAUUAAUGUUACAGUAGUACUUUUU